GAGGUUAGACGAAACACCAUAAUACGUUAUACAGAAAAAUCGAUACAAUGCAUUUCUCUUCCGGAAGCACGUUCAUUCCGAGAGAUAUCAACGCGUGCCAAACAGGAGAGGAUCUUUGGUCUCGAAAUACUUGGGCUGACGAUUUGAAUUGGCUGAUUGAUCCAGUAGCCCCACAAUUAUUAUCGUCGCGGUUUUCUCAGCGCACACACAUAUCUCGAAAUUAUCUCGUUUAUUUUCUACCUUGCGGUCUCGACAAAGCUACCUACCCUUCGUCGUGCACAAUGGACUGCUUGUCGCGGAACAGAAGUGGAUCUGAGACGGAGUGGACUGAAACCACGAGAUUGAAAAUCGAUUUUCGACCUGGCGACAGAAUAGUCACCCAUUUGCCACGCUUAUUCAAUUAGCGGAAAGGCUUAAUAAGAAUUGGCAGUGCGGUAGUGCCCGUGAGCGGGCAAAUAAAAAGACUACGGACAAAUGAAUAUCAAAUAUUUAUCAAAUAGUGAAUCGUGAGUGAUUAACAAUGAGACGUUCGAUCGAAAGAAAACGCGUGCAGGGAAAUUCCCGGGAGUGCUGAGGCAUUAAUGAACCUCAGUGUACACGGUUUUAUCGGGGCCUAAAACGAUCGUCUAUGCAAAUGUCGUGGCCCAUUAAAGGAAUGGACGAACCGGAACGACCUCCUUCGCCUCGCCUGUUUUUCGCUUCUUGACUUCGCACGCCCUCGGCCUCGGCUAUAUUCGAGCCGGGCGGCGUUGAAUCUACAUUCUAGUGGACUUUGAAGGAGAAGUAAAUCGAAUCAGCGUGAUUGAAAAUCGAUUUUCGAUACGGCACUCAAAAUCAAUCUCUGAGACACCGGCAAAUAAUCCAUUUGUGCUCUUGAUUGACGUCGCCGUUCAAUGUCAACCGUGUAAGAUGUAUACGACCGCUAUUAACGCGACGAUUGGCUCUUUUUUCUCUUUAUCGUUUAUUUACGCUGAUUAUUCCUCUAAUUUGAAGAUUAAUGAAAUAUAAAUCGCACUUUUUUUUCUACGAAAUAUCACGUGAAAGCUGUUUCGUUUACACAAAAUCCGAAGCGUCAGGAAGUCCUAUAAGCGCAAAUGCCACGUCAAGUCGGAUAUAGAAUUUUUCGAGUAUGUUGGAAAAUCGACAUUAUUUUCUUGGUCUGUCAAGUAGGCGGAAGAAGAUAGCAGCCGUAGUAUCGGAAAUCCAUUUCCAAUGUUGCAUCUUGGAUUUGUUUCCUCUAUUUGAACAUUGCCACGACAGCACACGAAUGUGGCAAUUUCCUGAUAAGAUAAUAAUGCUGUGAUUGGAAAGUUUCUCCAAUUUUUUUCAGCGUCAUGAUAGAUUAUAUGAAACAGAGAAACGAAAAGAGAGUACGUCAAAUAUUGAAAUUGAUAUCAUCUUUGAGUAUCUAU